UGAGGAAUAUUGGUCAAUGGGCGGGAGCCUGAACCAGCCAAGUCGCGUGAAGGAAGAAGGAUCUAUGGUUCGUAAACUUCUUUUGCAGGGGAAUAAAGUGCAGGACGUGUCCUGUUUUGUAUGUACCCUGAGAAUAAGGAUCGGCUAACUCCGUGCCUGCAGCCGCGGUAAUACGGAGGAUCCGAGCGUUAUCCGGAUUUAUUGGGUUUAAAGGGUGCGUAGGUGGUUUGAUAAGUCAGCGGUGAAAGUUUGCAGCUUAACUGUAAAAAUGCCGUUGAAACUGUCGGACUUGAGUGUAAAUGAGGUAGGCGGAAUGCGUGGUGUAGCGGUGAAAUGCAUAGAUAUCACGCAGAACUCCGAUUGCGAAGGCAGCUUACUAGGCUACAACUGACACUGAAGCACGAAAGCGUGGGGAUCAAACA
rnacentral:rRNA from 1 species